rnacentral:misc_RNA from 1 species
UUUUCCAUCUUUUUUUUUUCUUAGAAGGGUGCCAUAUUAUAAAAGCUCUACUUCCUGAAAGAGUUAUUAGAAUCUAAGUUACGUUGAUUGAAUGAAAAUGAAUUCCUGAAUCUUUUAUUAAAUGGUCUUGGCAUCCAAACCCAUUGACAAACUACCACAUUUCCUUAAAAAAUUAUCAUACCAUCCCUUGGGUUCAUGAUUGUUUGGUCUUUUCUUAACCCAGGCAAGAGCUCUGUCCAGAG